AAAAAAAUUAUAUAGUAUCUAGACCCGUAAAUUUGUAGGUACUCUGCGGACACCCGAGGGUAUGGAUAGAGAUUGCUAGAUCUAACCGUAUGCAGUGGACAUCUUACCUCAGCAAAACACCACUCUUAAAGCUUCACUUGCCUCCUUCUGAAUCUCUCACUCCUCUCCUGUCUUCUAAAUCCUCGAAAACAAAUCGCUCUUGCACCUCUCCCCCUGUGCACUAAAUUCUUUGUAGAAUGCAGCGGAAGUAUUCAUUUGUACUUUUUUGCGGAAGCGAUUCGCGCUACGACGCGAUGAGCCCGGAUCGUAGAGAUUGAUUCAUGUGUCUUUGGAUCGUCCUUGAAGGUCUUCUAACGCUCCGAACCCGUGGUGGAUCGAACUACGAACGAGCACGAUCGCAAAUCCACCGUUCAAGUCCCUCUAGAAUAAUAGGUUAAUGGAGGAUGUGGUUUCUCUCUUUUGUAUUCUUAUUCUCUCUCUUUUUCGUUCAUCGUUUUAUGUAGGAUCGCCCGUAUAUUUAUAAGAAAUUUUAAAAUCCUAAUCGCGUAAGAGAUAAGGCCAAAUCGGUUAUUAAUUGUUAUCCUAAUAUGAUUAAAAUUUAUCUGUAAUUAACUUUCCAAUUUAAAAGCAAGAUUAAUCCUAAUCCAAUUAGAUAACAUAAUAAUCGUCGGAUCGAGCCCGAUCAUGGGCGGACCCGAUUCGAUUUAACCGAAUGCCAACACCCUUGGCUAAGUUUCUCUCUGGUACAGCUCACGAAAACCUCGCUACUCAGCCGUAUUCUAGACCGCGAAGCUUCAGCAUAGAGUUUGACAAGCGAAGGCCUAUUUUUGAUUAUUUAAUGCACCAACAAAAACAUGCCCCGAAUCUUAACAUAAUUAAAUUUUUUUUCUCAGAUUAAUAUUUAAGUCCUGAUUCAUUUAUCUCUAACAGAUUUAAAUAUUUAUCCUAAUCUAAAUAAGAUUUAACUACAAAUCUAACAAAUGGGCGCGCCCUAUUGUACUUUUUCAACGGACAAAUCUGAGAAAAUCCAGUAAUUGAAGAAGCUGCAUCUAUCCUUUAUUAAAAGAAAUAUGUAGUUGAAGAAGCUGCAUCUAUCCAGUAAUUGAAGAAUAUGUAGUUCAAUUACUGCAUCUAUCCAGUAAUUGAAGAAGCUGCAUCUAUCCUUUAUAAAUGGUAGGAAUAUGUAGUUAUCCUUUAUUUUUUCUCAAAUUAAGUAACUUUAUAA
rnacentral:lncRNA from 1 species